rnacentral:piRNA from 1 species
UCUUCAUUGGUUUCAUGCUGAUGUUCGGAU